UAUAUUAUCAUUUUUAGCGCUGUAAUUAUUUUUAAAAAAAUAAUUAUUUUCUCUUGACCUCCCAUUUAAAUUCUUUAAUUUAUCGUAAAGGACUUCUCAUGUGACGUCACACUGUACGGAACAUAGUUGUUGAACCGUUCCUUGUCGUUUAAUUCGUGUUCCGUGAGAGUUUGACGUUUUCCUCGCUGACUGUGGGAGGAAAGAGAGGGACUUGGCCGGUGGCUGCGAGGUUGACAGGUUGGUGUUGGUGGUUAGUACCGUAAAUGGCGGUUAAUUUCUUCGAAAUUAAUUUUUAUUUCAACUAAGUUUGGAAGUAUAGUAAAAAGUUACCACCACUUGUUUCCUGGAGUACGGGUUUCCUGGAGUAAGGAUGGGAGUACCAUCAGUGGAAGAGGAAUAAAAAAAUUAACCGCCAUUUGGAAGAAAACUAACCCUCAUGUGAUGUCGUACCCACCUUGACUACCUAGGGAAGCCACCUUGACCUUAUUGCAGCUACCGCCAAGUCAAACUGGGAGUAUGUUUUGGGAACAAGCUUUUUGGGGGACAUUCCAGCUCCUUUUCGUCCUGCCACCUGGGCCUACGGGGGGGCAUGGAGGUGCAUCAUAGUGAUGCUCAUUUUCUAGGAUGCAACCGCAACCUCGUUUGGGAACAUUUAGUGAGGAGUUUUAGUAACUAUUGGUUUUUUUUUAUAUUUCAGACUAUCUGUUAAAUACACUAUGUUUUUUUUUCCAGAUUUAGGUUACCUCUGUUUUUUUUUGACAUAUGUAUUUGUAUAUUAGAUUAUUUGGUUCCCAAACUUUGUAUCUACGGUAACUUCUUGUGCACAGGAAUAAGCCUAGAGAAAAUUAGGUUUUUAAUACUUUAUUAUUGCUUUGAUAUUGGUUUAUGUAAUUCGGGUAAAUUUAUUUUGUAACAUUACUUGCUUGUUUCCCAAAUAUUGUAUUUAUUCGCUUUAUUUCGUUUGUUCGGUUACUUCGUCGUUACUUUAUUUCAUUGCAUUUGCUCGGUUAAUUUAGGUCAUUUUGUCGGUAUUUUUCUUAACUUCACUUCUAUAACGUUUAUUCAUUUGUAUAUUUAAUUUUGCUUUAUUCAGUAUUGUAUUUUCUCUUAGUGAGGCUUGGGCCUAUUUAUUUGUAUUAUUUUCAUCUUCGUCGGUUUCCUUUAGUUGUACGUAGCAGGCGUACUAUAACCAUUUGGUAGAAGACUUAUGUAAUUUUGUACCCUAUAUGUUAGUAAGAGGUACUUAUAUUUAAGUUUGUAACAGAUAACAUUAUUGUUGUUAUCUUUAAAAGAUAUAUAUCUUCUUGUAUAACUUAUGUCAUUUUAGAGUCACAGCAUAAUAUGAACUUGCUUAACUCAGAGAUUGUUAAAAAUCUGGUAGUUAUUUUUAAUAAAUAUGUUUAUUUAUUUUGUAUAUCAUUUAUUUUUAUUUUUCCUACUUCGGCUCAACCGCUGAAGCCCCUUCAUUUUUCUUUUCAGCCACAACUAUUUAUCUACCUAGUCUUCAUUUUUUUCUUACUUCUAGUCAUUAUUUUUUUUCCCUUAUUUCUGUUGGAGUACCUAUAUCUUUCUUUUUACUUUCACUCCAACAGAAGUUAUUUUUGUUACACUGGCGCCCAACGUGGGGCCAACCGUUUUAUGGUUCUAAGACAGUAGUUCUUUUAGUUCAAUUUUCUUUUAUUGGAAUUUUCUGUUUUAUUAACUUUUUGAUAUCUUUGUAUAUAUGUUAUUUCUGAUUUAUUUUUGUCUUUAAUUUUUAUUAAUAAUAAACAGGUAGACUUAUACUGCUUCUUUUGGUUUUGAUUAGUUUAUUUUCGGUACCUCAUCUUUAGUUUUAGUGGUACAGCUCAUAUCUUAGUUUGGAUUUUGUAUUUUUAUUGGAAACUUAUUUAUGUAUUUAGAUUGAGUAUACAUAACUGACAUUAUGUUCUAUUAGUUAAAUUUUUAUUCCUUCUACCAAUGGUAGUACAUUUGCGCGUACAAUUAAUCGUUGAAUAUAUGCAUACAUUUUUUUUCUAGUAUGGUUAUAUUUUAUACAUAACUAGAAAUCAUUUUCAGUAUUUAGGUAUUUUAUUUACUUUAUUGAUUUGAUUAUUUAUAUAUUUUGCUGGCAUUUUGAUUUGUUGGUGUGUCGCUAAUAUUUUCUCCAUAUGUAUCUUUGUCUUACAAACUUUAGAUUAUAUUUUAUAUUUGUUAUUUUUGAUAUUUGGGUUGUUUGGUAAGACAGGCACACACCACAAAGCACAAUCAGUCCACAACAUUAGCUUCUACACAUGAUACGUUGAAUUCGCAUGGUUCGGAUGAUUACAGAUGGUCAUCCAAAUUAUUUUUCUUUAAUUGGUAGUGUUAAACAUAACAAUUAUAAUUAUUGUAUAGUAAAGUAGUUCCAUUAUCCACCUCAGUUUCUAGUUUUAUUAUUGUUGAUAAUAAUAUUAUAUCAAUGUGGGUACCAUAAUAUAAUGCUCAUAGAAAUCAGAUACUUUAGGUUGAGAUUUAAAUAUAAAUUCUUUAUUAGUUAGGAAACAUUGAUACUAUUUUCCUACUAAGUUAUAGAACAGUCUUCAGAAGAAGAUUACCUUAACAGUGUUGUUCAAGCUAAUCUCUUCUUCUGUUUGUCUUUAGCUUAGCUCAAUCUUUAGUAUGGUUAGAAAUUUUAGUCUGAUAUUUUUUUUGUCAUCUGAUAAUGCAGGUACCUACAUACAUUGCUUGAUUUCAUUUUUGGCUUUGUUGUCGAUGACUUUUAAUUUAUUAUUUAUUAAUUUAAUUAUUAUGUAGUACUCUGGUUUAUGAGCUUAUCAUUUUGUUGCAUUAUUAAUGGUGCAUUUUUCAAUAUGUAAGCUCAGACAAGUACGUUGGUUUAAUAUUGAUAUUUUGUAUGGAACUAUGGAACUUAUCAUAAUGUACACUACUAUAUCUCAGUUUAUGUGUUAUAUUUUGAAUAUUUGAUUACUUACUAUUUUUUUUAUAUUAUUUCUAUAUCUUGUUCUUGGAUUUGCCAUAGUGGAAAGAUGUUGUGGUUUAUAAUUUGUUAUUGGGUUACUCUAUUAACAUUUGUCUCCAAUAUCUUAAACACUUUAUAAUAAUUUAUAUCCUUAUAUCCUACACACUAUGAUUCUGGAAUUAGUUUGGAAGUUUGAGGUAUGUACAGAUUCUUAAGUCUCUAAGUCUGAAUGUAUGCAUGGUAUGUGGUUGUAUGCAUAAUGUAUGUAUGUAUGGAUGAUGUAUGUAGGUAUGGAUAAUGUAUGUAUGUAUGAAUGAGAUAGGUAUGUAUGGAUGAUGUAUGUAUUGAUUUCUUCUUUUGGACUAGUUUGUCAUUACUCUGUUGAUACUCUGAUUUGUGAAUGCGUGGGUUCGAGGUUGUUGCUCAGCAACUGAUCACUGCUGUUCGAUUGACUUCGUGAUCUAUGUCUUUCAUGGCUGAGUACGCAGAUGUUUUUUUUUUCAUCAUAAUAUUUCUGGUCAGGAAAUGUUGGCCACAUUUCCUAACCAUUCUUCUGUAAUUAGUCCAAUUAUUCCAGUUACAUUUUUACCAUUAGAUAGGGAAGUAUUUAGUUCAUAUUAGGUCUUUUACUUCAUAGUAUGUUUGUACUUUGAGUUGAUGAAUAAACAGGGAUAAAUAUCUUGCGCACUUGUUUAUAAAUCAAUGCUUAGGCCAUCCCUAUACAUAGUAGGUUCGUUAAGUCAGUAUUUGGAGUGUUUAGACAGAUGAGUUGUUCAUUUGAGUAUAUUCCCACUUCUUUCCUUAGGCAUUAGUUUUGUUAUUUAGAUUUUGAAACAUUUCCUGAAUAAUUCCAUGUAUGUGAGAACGCAUGAAUCUGCAGUUUUAUUUAAAACUUGUUGCUCGUUCUCAUCAAAUUUUUUUUUCUUAUCACUUAUCCUAUUUUUUUUCCUAUCACCUAUCACAUAUUUUUUUUCCUAUCACGUAUCAUAGUGUCAUAUAACUUAUGAGUUCAUCAUUUAUUUUUUUUCCUUUCUUACUUAUUCUUAUAUUAUUGGUACUUUAUCUACGUCUGGUUAUUCUCACAUAUCUGUUGUAGCAACAUGCUAUAGUUCGCGAAUACCAGCACGAAUUAGUUUAUGUAGUUUCUAUAAAAUUUUAGUCAAUACACAUUAGGUAUUUAUCUUACUUUUGAUCUAGUUUGGUUACAUCUCUGUUACUUAGUCUGUUAGUAAUUUUUUUUCUGACUUAUUUUGAUUACUUAGUUUGGAUAGGUUCAUAUUACCGGAUGAGGGUGUAUGUAGACCUAAUUUAUUUAUUUUGUUCAGUAUUAGUUACCAUUGGAUCCAAUAAUUUAGUUUAUUUAGUAUUAGUAAGAAUUGGUCCAUAAAUUUGCCUGAUCGUUCUUCUUUGGAUAUACUCCUAUAUAAAUCUGGUGUCCAUUGAUAGUCCGAUUCUGGAUAAGUGUCCGAUUCUUCAUUUAUUUUGGUUAUUGAGUUUUGGAUUCCUUUGGUAUGUUUAUUAUUGGUAUUAUUUGGCAUUAGUGAGAGUUGUUCCAUAAAUCUUCCUGAUUGUUCUUCUCUGGAUAUACUAUUAUGAAUCUGGUGUCCAUUGUUAGUUCAGUUUUGGAUAAAGUGUUCAAUUCUUUACCUAUUUUAGUUACUGAUUUUUUUUAUUCACUUUGGUACAUUUACUUUUGAUAUGGUUCGAAUUGGCUCACACCUUUUCCUGGUUGUUCCGUUCUUGGAUAUACCCUUUAUAAAUCUGAUGUCCAUGGAUAGUUCAAUUUUGGUUUUAGUGCCCAAUUCGACACUCAGUUAUUAUUAUGAACUUAAGUACAAUAUUUAGUUUUGUUUUGACUUUUGAGCAAUAUAUGUUAAUAUUUGGUAGCAGAGAGUAACAUAGUAACAUUUUAGUAUGAGUUUGAGUCAUGUAUUGAUUUAUUUUUCCUUGACCAUUAGUUUAUAUUUAGAAGUAAUCUUGCGAAUCAACGUGGAUUGUUAGACUAUUGUAAAUUUAGUUGUUAAUAUUUUGAAGUUUAAAAAAAAAAAAUUUUUUUUUGGUUAAAAAAUUUUUUUUUCCCGAGUAGGAGGGGAUUGUAACGGUCCACCCGUUAUAUUAUCAUUUUUAGCGCUGUAAUUAUUUUUAAAAAAAUAAUUAUUUUCUCUUGACCUCCCAUUUAAAUUCUUUAAUUUAUCGUAAAGGACUUCUCAUGUGACGUCACACUGUACGGAACAUAGUUGUUGAACCGUUCCUUGUCGUUUAAUUCGUGUUCCGUGAGAGUUUGACGUUUUCCUCGCUGACUGUGGGAGGAAAGAGAGGGACUUGGCCGGUGGCUGCGAGGUUGACAGGUUGGUGUUGGUGGUUAGUACCGUAAAUGGCGGUUAAUUUCUUCGAAAUUAAUUUUUAUUUCAACUAAGUUUGGAAGUAUAGUAAAAAGUUACCACCACUUGUUUCCUGGAGUACGGGUUUCCUGGAGUAAGGAUGGGAGUACCAUCAGUGGAAGAGGAAUAAAAAAAUUAACCGCCAUUUGGAAGAAAACUAACCCUCAUGUGAUGUCGUACCCACCUUGACUACCUAGGGAAGCCACCUUGACCUUAUUGCAGCUACCGCCAAGUCAAACUGGGAGUAUGUUUUGGGAACAAGCUUUUUGGGGGACAUUCCAGCUCCUUUUCGUCCUGCCACCUGGGCCUACGGGGGGGCAUGGAGGUGCAUCAUAGUGAUGCUCAUUUUCUAGGAUGCAACCGCAACCUCGUUUGGGAACAUUUAGUGAGGAGUUUUAGUAACUAUUGGUUUUUUUUUAUAUUUCAGACUAUCUGUUAAAUACACUAUGUUUUUUUUUCCAGAUUUAGGUUACCUCUGUUUUUUUUUGACAUAUGUAUUUGUAUAUUAGAUUAUUUGGUUCCCAAACUUUGUAUCUACGGUAACUUCUUGUGCACAGGAAUAAGCCUAGAGAAAAUUAGGUUUUUAAUACUUUAUUAUUGCUUUGAUAUUGGUUUAUGUAAUUCGGGUAAAUUUAUUUUGUAACAUUACUUGCUUGUUUCCCAAAUAUUGUAUUUAUUCGCUUUAUUUCGUUUGUUCGGUUACUUCGUCGUUACUUUAUUUCAUUGCAUUUGCUCGGUUAAUUUAGGUCAUUUUGUCGGUAUUUUUCUUAACUUCACUUCUAUAACGUUUAUUCAUUUGUAUAUUUAAUUUUGCUUUAUUCAGUAUUGUAUUUUCUCUUAGUGAGGCUUGGGCCUAUUUAUUUGUAUUAUUUUCAUCUUCGUCGGUUUCCUUUAGUUGUACGUAGCAGGCGUACUAUAACCAUUUGGUAGAAGACUUAUGUAAUUUUGUACCCUAUAUGUUAGUAAGAGGUACUUAUAUUUAAGUUUGUAACAGAUAACAUUAUUGUUGUUAUCUUUAAAAGAUAUAUAUCUUCUUGUAUAACUUAUGUCAUUUUAGAGUCACAGCAUAAUAUGAACUUGCUUAACUCAGAGAUUGUUAAAAAUCUGGUAGUUAUUUUUAAUAAAUAUGUUUAUUUAUUUUGUA